GAAUUUUAUAUAAAUUUAUUAAAUAAUUUAGUAUAAAAAUAUAUUAAUUAAUAAAUUUAUAUUUUAUUGGGAGGAUAGUUAAAUUAGAUGAACUUUAAUAGAAUUUAAAAAUCAUUAAUUUAUGAAUUAAAAGUAAAGAGUGGCUUAAUUUGGUUUAAAUAGAAUUAAUUACCUUAGGGAUAACAGCGUAAUAUUUUUAGAGAGAUCUUAUUAAUAAAAAUGAUUGC
rnacentral:rRNA from 1 species